rnacentral:rRNA from 1 species
UACGUAUGGUGCAAGCGUUAUCCGGAAUUACUGGGUGUAAAGGGAGCGUAGGCGGUACGGCAAGUCAGAAGUGAAAGCCUGGGGCUCAACCCCGGAAUUGCUUUUGAAACUGUCGGACUAGAGUGUCGGAGGGGUAAGCGGAAUUCCUAGUGUAGCGGUGAAAUGCGUAGAUAUUAGGAGGAACACCGGUGGCGAAGGCGGCUUACUGGACGACCACUGACGCUGAGGCUCGAAAGCGUGGGGAGCAAACAGG